rnacentral:rRNA from 1 species
CCUACGGGGGGCAGCAGUGGGGAAUAUUGCACAAUGGGCGCAAGCCUGAUGCAGCCAUGCCGCGUGUGUGAAGAAGGCCUUCGGGUUGUAAAGCACUUUUAGCGGGGAGGAAGGCGGUGAGGUUAAUAACCUCAUCGAUUGACGUUACCCGCAGAAGAAGCACCGGCUAACUCCGUGCCAGCAGCCGCGGUAAUACGGAGGGUGCAAGCGUUAAUCGGAAUUACUGGGCGUAAAGCGCACGCAGGCGGUCUGUCAAGUCGGAUGUGAAAUCCCCGGGCUCAACCUGGGAACUGCAUUCGAAACUGGCAGGCUAGAGUCUUGUAGAGGGGGGUAGAAUUCCAGGUGUAGCGGUGAAAUGCGUAGAGAUCUGGAGGAAUACCGGUGGCGAAGGCGGCCCCCUGGACAAAGACUGACGCUCAGGUGCGAAAGCGUGGGGAGCAAACAGGAUUAGAUACCCUAGUAGUC